rnacentral:lncRNA from 10 species
CGCGCCCGCCCGGGCAGGAGCUAUGAACGCUGCCCGGGGGCUGCCGGCAAAACCCGGACCGGACUCGCCGCUCCCUCCUCCCCCCAACCCCCUCCACCUCGGCUCCCCUCCCUCCUCCCGCCGCCUCCCUCCCAGCGCAGCUCGGGCCACUUGGACGCCGCGGGCUCUGAGGCCGGAGCUGCAGCCGCUGCGCCUCGAGCUCCCCGCGCCCUGACGCGGUCCACCCAGGCUCAGCUCCCUUGCGCGCCCCGUCUUCGCCUAUUUCCCGCAACUUUACAAAAAAAAAAAAAAAAGGACGACCUCCCCGCUUUGGUGAGGCGGUCUGGGUUUAGAGACGCACCUCCGGGGAAAUCUGCUAUCUUUCUGCCCCCUCUAGAGCGGGGCCAGAAGCUUCGAGGACCGGGAGGGAGAAUUUGGCCGCGCCCCCCAGCUCAGGUGCGCGGCGGGCCAGAGAUUCCUAGUCGAGGGUCCUGGGAGGUAGACGCGUGUUCCAAGACCCCACCCUUCCAAGAGCUCCUUAAUGGAUUCAGUGGGCACUAGGGCCCCGGGAGAAAAGGGGCGGAGAUUCCCGUUCCCAUUUCUCAGGUGAGGAAACUGAUCCGAGAAAGGAUAUUUUAUCUCUCAGGCAGGCAUCAGCCUCAACUCUUGAGUCCCGGGGCUAAAACGACUACGUACAUUUGGUGCCCUGAGACCAUGGCCUACGCACUCAAAACCCGAAACAAUGCUUGGAACAGCAGCGCUCAAUAGGCCCUGCUGACCAAUGCCAUCUAACACUGGCAGUUCCCUCUGACACCCCAAGACUCCUCUCCAGAUUUCCAGAGCUUUGCAUGUACCAUUCCCUCUGCCAAGAUAGGCCUCAUCAAGCUCACCUCAUGAACUCCUCAUGGAAGACCAGGAGCACAUAUCACCUGGGAACCAUCUCAGACUGCCACUUCCAGCCUGAGUUUGGGCCAUACCUACAGGGCCACCACUAGCCUUUGUGCAAAUCAGAAAAAGGUACCCACUUUUGGCAGAUACAGGAAACCAUGAAGGAGGUCACAGACUGCCUUUCAGCUUCCUAGCUCCCUUUGCUAGGUGCCUUUUUGCAGUGCAUGCACAGGACAGAUGUACUCUGUGGCCUGGCUUUGGGUCCUUCAUCUGGCUUUGGGACCCCUCCUAUGGCCACAGUGACCACAAUGCACAGAAAUAGCUUUUAUUUGCUCAUCUCACUACUUGUCCCCUCGCCACCACCUCCCGCCAUGAAAAUUCUUUGAAGGUAAGGAGGAGUCCCCUACCUGCCUUGGGCCCGAAGCUUGGCCUCCAAAGAGGUACCAGUAAUAACAAUUGUAGCCAGAAUCUUUCUGAGCUCUUGCUUGUCAGGGACCAUGCUAAUUGCUUUUUGAACAUAGGCUUAUUAAAUCCACAGGCUUGGACACCUGUGUGAGGUUACAAAGUAGCAAAACCAGGAUUUCAAUCCAUGCCUUGUCUGAGGCAUUUUCCAUGACUGCCAUUUAUCUGCUAAUAUCUGUCAUUGAUUAAACAUCCAGUGACUGGAAAUGGCCACAUGGAGAGGAGUGUGGGAGUUAGGAUCUCCAAUAAAGAUGGCCAAUUUGGAACUCAGUCUAAGGUUUACCCUUCUUUGGGCCCCAGUUCUGUCACCUGUAUCACAAAGGAUGGGAGCAAAGGCAUUUGAAACCCUGCCUGCUGGGGCAGGGCACAGGAUAGUGUUCAGUGGGGUCAUGCUGGACUGUGACCUCAGCCAAAAUCCCAGGGCAGGCCUGGGGGUGCAAACACGGGCAGAGGCAGGGAGGAGCCUAACCGCACCAGACUGUGGCCCCGGGCCUUUGGGUCUGGGCCCUCACGCACUGACCACUGGACUUUAGGUCCUCCCCACCCCACCCCCAUGACGUCUGAAGGAGCAGAGAGCUGUGAAAUGAAAAUUCAAAAAGCCAAGUCUCUCAAGUAACCCAGGCUUGCCCAUUCCUGAGAAGUCAGUUUGGUGGCCAAUGCCUGGCCUUGACCUGUGUAAACAGAGGGGAAGGGAUGAGGACAGAAGGAAGACUCCAGUCCCAGAACAAAAUGACUCUGGGGACAGAGGCUGAGAGAAAGCAGGAAGCAAGCUAUAUUUCCCAUUGCCCAGGCACAGCUACAUACACGCCAUAGACAACCAGAUACAGCCCUGUUCUCAGUGAGGCACAGGGAACUCAGCCUGUAUAUGGGAUAUUGAUGGGGAGAGGGACAGUUUGGGGGCUGUUGUGCCCCUGACAAUAACCCUUGGCUUCUCUAGACACAAUCAUGGUUCAACUCUGUCCUAUGGGAGUGGGACUGAGUGCUCCCAGAGGCCAAAGCUGUGGCUCCAGCCUCCCUGCCACACUUCAGGAAGAGGGAGGGAG